AGAGUUUGAUCCUGGCUCAGGAUGAACGCUAGCGGCAGGCCUAACUCAUGCAAGUCGAGGGGUAUAAGUAGCAAUACUUAGAGACCGGCGCACGGGUGAGUAACGCGUAUGCAACCUACCUUAUACAGGGGGAUAGCUCAGUGAAAACUGAAUUAAUACCCCAUAAAGCAGGGGUACCGCCUGGUACUAUUUGCUAAAGAUUUAUCGGUAUAAGAUGGGCAUGCGCGCCAUUAGCUAGUUGGUAGGGUAACGGCCUACCAAGGCUACGAUGGCUAGGGGGUCUGAGAGGAUGAUCCCCCACACUGGUACUGAGACACGGACCAGACUCCUACGGGAGGCAGCAGUGAGGAAUAUUGGUCAAUGGACGCAAGUCUGAACCAGCCAUGCCGCGUGAAGGAUGACUGCCCUAAGGGUUGUAAACUUCUUUUGUACGGGGGUAAUUUUUCGGUCGUGACCGGAAUUGAAAGUACUGUACGAAUAAGCGUCGGCUAACUACGUGCCAGCAGCCGCGGUAAUACGUAGGACGCAAGCGUUAUCCGGAUUUAUUGGGUUUAAAGGGUGCGUAGGCGGACAAAUAAGUCAGCGGUGAAAGACUGUCGCUCAACGAUAGCAUUGCCAUUGAUACUGUAUGUCUUGAGUACAAUUGAGGUAGGCGGAAUGUGUAGUGUAGCGGUGAAAUGCUUAGAUAUUACACAGAACACCGAUUGCGAAGGCAGCUUACUAAAUUGUUACUGACGCUGAGGCACGAAAGCGUGGGGAUCAAACAGGAUUAGAUACCCUGGUAGUCCACGCCGUAAACGAUGAUCACUGGUUGUUAGCGAUAUACAGUUAGCGACUGAGCGAAAGCAUUAAGUGAUCCACCUGGGGAGUACGUCGGCAACGAUGAAACUCAAAGGAAUUGACGGGGGCCCGCACAAGCGGAGGAACAUGUGGUCUAAUUCGAUGAUACGCGAGGAACCUUACCUGGGCUCGAACGUGAGAGGAAUUAUGUGGAAACAUGUAAGUCAGCAAUGACCUCUUACGAGGUGCUGCAUGGUUGUCGUCAGCUCGUGCCGUGAGGUGUCGGCUUAAGUGCCAUAACGAGCGCAACCCCUAUUGUUAGUUGCCAGCGGGUUAAGCCGGGGACUCUAACAAAACUGCCAGCGUAAGCUGUGAGGAAGGCGGGGAUGACGUCAAAUCAGCACGGCCCUUACGUCCAGGGCUACACACGUGUUACAAUGGCCGGUACAGAGGGCAGCUACUCCGUGAGGAGAUGCUAAUCUCAAAAGCCGGUCUCAGUUCGGAUUGGAGUCUGCAACUCGACUCCAUGAAGUUGGAUUCGCUAGUAAUCGCGCAUCAGCCACGGCGCGGUGAAUACGUUCCCGGGCCUUGUACACACCGCCCGUCAAGCCAUGGGAGCUGGGGGUACCUGAAGUACGUGACCGCAAGGAGCGUCCUAGGGUAAGACUGGUGACUGGGGCUAAGUCGUAACAAGGUA
rnacentral:rRNA from 1 species